rnacentral:rRNA from 1 species
UACGUAGGUGGCAAGCGUUGUCCGGAUUUACUGGGCGUAAAGAGCGCGCAGGCGGUCGUUCAAGUCGCGUGUGAAAGCCCCCGGCUCAACUGGGGAGGGUCACGCGAUACUGAUCGACUCGAAGGCAGGAGAGGGUAGUGGAAUUCCCGGUGUAGUGGUGAAAUGCGUAGAGAUCGGGAGGAACACCUGUGGCGAAGGCGGCUCGCUGGGCCGGUCCUGACGCUGAGACGCGAAGGCGUGGGGAGCGAACGGG